AUUGAACGCUGGCGGCAGGCUUAACACAUGCAAGUCGAACGAGUGGCGGACGGGUGAGUAAUGCUUGGGAAUCUAGCUUAUGGAGGGGGAUAACUACGGGAAACUGUAGCUAAUACCGCGUAACAUAGGAUGAGCCCACGUGGGAUUAGGUAGUUGGUGAGGUAACGGCUCACCUAGCCGACGAUCUCUAGCUGGUCUGAGAGGAUGACACACGACACUGGUACUGAUACGCGGCCCAGACUCGUACGGUAGGCAGCAGUGGGGAAUAUUGCGCAAGGGGGGGGACCUGACGCAGCCAUGCCGCGUGAAUUAAGAAGGCCUUGGGGUUGUAGAGGUCUUUCGGUAGCGAGGCGUUAACUACAGAAGAAGCACCGGCUAACUCCGUGCCAGCAGCCGCGGUAAUAG
rnacentral:rRNA from 1 species